UCCCGCACCAUGCUCUCCCUGCUCCGCAGCACUUUGCCCCUGGUGCCCGGUGCCAGCCGCGCCAUGUCCGCCGUGUCCCUGCUCGUCUCCCCGGGCCGCUGCCUCUUUGACGACCCCCUGCGGCUCCGGGGCCGCGGUCUGAGCCCCGGGCAGGACGUCAGCCUCCGCACCGCUCUGACGGACGAGGCCGGCCACCUGUUCACCUCCGUGGGCCUGUACCGAGCGGACAGCGGCGGGGAGCUGGACUUCAGCCGGAGCCCGGCCCUGGAGGGCGGCAGCUACACCGGAGUGGAGCCGGAGGGGCCCCUGUGGUCCCUGGAGUCCGAGACUCCCCUCAGGAGGCUGCUGAAGAAGGACGUGCAGAGCCCGCUCCAGCUCCGCUUCUCCCUGCACCAGGCCCACGACCCGCCCGGGGCUCUCCUAGCUGCUGCCGCCCAGGAGAGGGGCUUCAUGGGGGAAGGGGUGAUCCGGGUGCCAGUGCGGGAGGGACGGGUGCGGGGCAGCCUCUUCCUGCCGCCCGGUCCAGGUCCGUUUCCAGGAGUCAUUGAAGUUCAGGGGACGGGUGGAGGCCUCCUGGAUUACAAGGCGAGCCUGCUGGCUAAUAGAGGCUUUGCCACGCUGGCAUUAGCUUACUAUAACUAUGAAGAUCUACCUAAAGACAUGAAGGAGCUUCGUCUGGAAUACUUCGAAGAAGCAGUAAACUAUAUGCUGCAACAUCCCAAGGUGAAGGGUCCGGGGAUAGGUCUCCUUGGCCAUUCUAAAGGUGGAGACUUGGUGCUUUCUAUGGCCUCCUUCCUUAAAGGUAUAGCGGCCACAGCUGUUGUGAAUGGCUCGGUGGCGAAUAUUGGCGCAGUCCUUCACUACAAGGACAACACUCUGCUUCCUAUUGGCUUUGAUAUUAAAAAGUUAAAACACCCUGAGCCAGGAGUGGGCGAUAUCCACGACCUAUUGCAUAAUCCGCUAGAAGAGGCUAACCGCAAGAGCCUUAUUCCUGUUGGGAAAGCCGACUGCAAGUUUCUGUUUAUUGUGGCAGAAGAUGACAGGAACUGGAAGAGUGACUUUCACGCCCAAGCGGCGUGCCAGCUUCUGCAAGAGGAAGGCAAAGAAAAGCCUGAAGUGGUGUACUAUCCCAAAGCCGGCCAUUACCUAGAGCCGCCCUAUUUCCCCUUGUGUAAGGCGUCUAUGCACAGGCUUGUUGGUAUUCCCGUGGUUUGGGGAGGAGAACCAAAAGCUCAUGCAAUGGCACAAGUGGACUCAUGGCAGAGAAUUCAGGCCUUCUUGCACAAGCAUCUCAAAAAUGACCUGGAGAAUAAAUUAUGACCAUAUUGUGUUAUGAGCACAUGGCCUUAAAGGGGUUCUCCGGGAAUAAUCAGUUUUUAGCAAGAGCCCACUGCCCGCCUUUCUAAACAGAAGACUCAUACCUACAUGGUCCAUGCUGCCUCCCCUGUGUCCAUGUUGACAUCAUGGUCACAUGCUCUGCUGCCGCCAACGACUGGCUUCAGCGGUGACAUGCUGCUUGUGGCCACGUCACCACUGAAGCCAGUCAUUGGCUGCAGCAGAGCAUGUGACCAUGUCCAUGCUGCGCUGGAUGUCAACACUGCGGCGACUAAAACGUGGACACAGCGGAGGCGGCGGUGUGGAGUAGGUAUGUAUUUAUCUUCUGUGUAGAGAGGCAGGCUGUGUGCUCUCGCUAAAAACUGCCGGAGAACCCCUUUAAAGCAGAUCUGUCAGCUUAAUAUGCUUCUCUAUGUAAGGGCAGCUUAUAAAGGCUACAGGUCCUUACUACUAGUAGCCAAUAUGAUAAAAAUAUUAUGCCAUUUUACUACAGGGAGCGCUGAAAGAAUACACCGGACAUGGGGUCCAUAAGAAGAGUGCUCCCUUAGCCCCCUGAGCGGUGAGUGACUGGCUGUUGUAUAUGCGCACAUAUGCAGAGAGGGGGAAAGGGGAGCCCUCUCCUUAUGAAUAUACUGGACUCCUAAACUCCAUGUCCGAUGUAUUCUUUUAGCGCUCCCUGUAGUAAAAUGACAAUCUUUUUAUCAUUUUGGCUACUAGUAGUGAGGACCUGUAGCUGUAAUAAGCCGGUAUAUUCUUUCAGUGCUCUUAGUAGCCAAAUGGCACAACUUUUGUGUUGUUUUGGCUAAUAGUACAUAGGACAACAUAUUAAACUGACAAAUCUGCUAAAAAAUAAAUAAAAAAAAUCACAUGGCAACUUGCUGCAGAAAUGUCUGUGACUAAUGGCAUGCCCACACAACGGAUUUUGUCACAUAUUCUUGUUCUUAUUGUCAUUAAACCUGGUAAAAA